AAGUCGUAACAAGGUUUCCGUAGGUGAACCUGCGGAAGGAUCAUUGACAAAUCUAAACAUGUGUUGUUUGGAGAGCACUAGCUCUUCAAGCCAACAACAUUCUAACCUGUGAAUUGGCAGUACUCUAGUAGUACUGUUAUGUGGCUGCGCAAGUAGUGUAUACUCUAUGCUACUUGUGUGCCUCAAACAUUUACCUUUAAUGUCUUAAUCACAGAAAAAACAAAUACAACUUUUAGCAAUGGAUCUCUUGGCUUCU
rnacentral:misc_RNA from 1 species